CCAUGCAGUCUCAGUACAAGCCGAACUAAGGUGAAACCGCAAAAGGCUCAUUAAAUCAGUUAUGGUUCCUUGGAUCGUACAAUCCAUUACUUGGAUAACUGUGGUAAUUCUAGAGCUAAUACAUGCAAACAGAGUCCCGACCAGAAAUGGAAGGGACGCUUUUAUUAGAUCAAAACCAAUCGGCGUCCGUUUACCUUCCGGUCGACGGCGUCGUACUCCUUGGUGACUCUGAAUAACUUUUAGCAGAUCGCACGGUCUUAGAACCGGCGACGCAUCCUUCAAAUGUCUGCCUUAUCAACUGUCGAUGGUAGGUUCUGCGCCUACCAUGGUUGUAACGGGUAACGGGGAAUCAGGGUUCGAUUCCGGAGAGGGAGCCUGAGAAACGGCUACCACAUCCAAGGAAGGCAGCAGGCGCGCAAAUUACCCACUCCCGGCACGGGGAGGUAGUGACGAAAAAUAACGAUACGGGACUCAUCCGAGGCCCCGUAAUCGGAAUGAGUAUACUCUAAAUCCUUAUACGAGUAUCAAUUGGAGGGCAAGUCUGGUGCCAGCAGCCGCGGUAAUUCCAGCUCCAAUAGCGUAUAUUAAAGUUGUUGCGGUUAAAAAGCUCGUAGUUGGAUCUGUGUUCCGCUCCGUCGGUACACCGCCUGUCGGUGUUUAACUGGCGAGCAUGCGGGACGUCCUGCCGGUGGCGGUCCGGUCCCGCGGUAGCGACGUAGGGUUCGGCCAGCGGUUCUGCCGUUGCGUCGUCCUUAAGUCCUUCGCGGGGUGCCGGCCGCCUUUUCAAUCCCGUCGCGGUGCUCUUUACUGAGUGUCGAGGCGGGCCGGCACGUUUACUUUGAACAAAUUAGAGUGCUUUAAGCAGGCCCUGUCCGCCUGUAUGUUGUGUGCAUGGAAUAAUGGAAAUAGGACCUCGGGUUCUAUUUUGUUGGUUUUCGGAAUCUGAGGUAAUGAUCAAUGGGGACUGGCGGGGGCAUUCGUAAUUGCGACGUUAGAGGUGAAAUUCUUUG
rnacentral:rRNA from 1 species